UCCUUGUUAGUAUAGGUGACAGUAUCUCCGCCUAUCAUGCAGAACACUGGGGAUUGAUUCCCCAAUGGAGAA